rnacentral:rRNA from 1 species
GACGAACGCUGGCGGCGUGCUUAACACAUGCAAGUCGAACGGAAAGGCCCUGCUUGCAGGGUACUCGAGUGGCGAACGGGUGAGUAACACGUGGGUGAUCUGCCCUGCACUUCGGGAUAAGCCUGGGAAACUGGGUCUAAUACCGGAUAGGAGCCAUUUUUAGUGUGAUGGUUGGAAAGUUUUUUCGGUGUAGGAUGAGCUCGCGGCCUAUCAGCUUGUUGGUGGGGUAAUGGCCUACCAAGGCGGCGACGGGUAGCCGGCCUGAGAGGGUGGACGGCCACAUUGGGACUGAGAUACGGCCCAGACUCCUACGGGAGGCAUCAGUGGGGAAUACUGCACAAUGGGCGCAAGCCUGAUGCAGCGACGCCGCGUGGGGGAUGACGGCCUUCGGGUUGUAAACUCCUUUCGCUAGGGACGAAGCUUUUUGUGACGGUACCUAGAUAAGAAGCACCGGCUAACUACGUG